UCCCCACUGGUUACCACUAGUCUGUUCUUUACUAUCUGUGAGUCUGUUUCUUUUCUGUUAUAUUCACUAGUUAGUUUUAUGAUUUAGAUUCCAUACAUGUGAUAAUGUACAAUAUCUGUCUUUUUCUGUAUGACUUAUUUCACUAACCUUAAAACCCUCCAAGUUAGAACCAUUGUCUUGAAGAAUGUUUCACUUUUUGGAUUUGUCUGUUUCCUGACAAGAAGAUUCUGGCCAAACAUUUUGGCAGUAAAGCAUGUGGGUGGUGUGCACUUCCUAUGGUAUCACGUCAGAGGCCCAUGUCAUCAGGUCUUCUCACCCUUGGAGAUGCUAAGUUUGAGCUCUUGGGUAGGUUGUGGCCACCAGAUCCCUUCAUGGAAAAGGUGCAUUUUGCCCUUUGUAAUUAAUAGGCAAUCUGUGGAAUGCCACUGUGAGACCAUGUGAAUUUCCUGUUCAUCCAGUGCUUUCAACAUCCUCUAAUGGUCCUGGGCUGAAUUGGUCAUUAUGUUGGAACAUCAUCUCUUUGGAUCACUUUCUUUUCUUGGUUUUUAGUGCCAGACUUGCGUUUGGUUCUUCCUUACCUCUCUAGCUGCUCAUUUUCAGUCUCUCUGUAGCUCCUCCCAUUCUCUUUGACCUCUGACCGUUAGUGCUCUAGGGCUCGAUCUUCAGAUCUUUUUCAUCCUCUCUUGUGGUUUUAAAUGCUAUCUAAAAGCUGAGGACUCCAAAAUUUCUAACUCUGGUACAGAUCUGUUUCCUUGACAUUCCCCUUGUAUGUCUCAAAGUUACCUCAAACUUCUUAGGUCCAAAAGUGACCCCCUGAUUCCCCCAUCCCAUAUUUUGCUCAUCCAUUUCAGUACGACAGCUCCAUCCUUCUGGUUGCUCAGGCCAAACUCUUGGAGUUACCUUUGACUCCUGUGUUUCAUACACUCAACAUGUCAAAGCCACCAGGAAAUUCUGUGGAUGCCAUCUUCAAGGUGUAUCCAGGUCUGUUUGCUGUCUCCAGGAUUUCUGCCAUAGCCUGUUCUCUGGUCUUCCUGCUUCCGCCCUUCCUUGUCCCUGGGCUGUUCUCAACAUGGCAGCCAGAACAAUCUUCACACAAUGUAGGCCCUCUGCUCAAGUCUCCCCAUUUCACUUGGGGUGUAUGCACAGGUCCUAACUUCAGUCUAUCAGGUGAUGUAUGAUCUUACCCCUGUCCCUGCCCCAUGAUUUCAUUUACUAUUACUCUCCCCUUGCCCACUCCACCCUGGCCACUCUGACAUCCUUACUGUUUCCCAAACCUGCCAGGCAACCUCCUGCCCCAGGGCCUUUGCACUUGCUGUUCUGCCACCUAGAACAUUUUCCCCCUAGAUGUCCACCUAGCUCUCCCUUAUUUCCUACAGGUCUUGGCCUAAAUAUCACUUUCUGAGUAGGGCCUUCAGAUCCUACUAUUACCCCUGGCACUUCUUAUUCCCCUUCCCUCUGUAUUGUUCUCCACGGCACUUAUCAUCACUGACAUACUCUGUAUUUACUUGUUUAUUAUCUGUCCCCCGACUGAAAGUAAGCUCCACAAGGAUAGAAACUUUGUUUUCUUUGCUGCCCUGUUCCCAGAUUAGUUUCAAGCAUACAGCCAGCAUUCAAUAAAUAUUUUUGAGUGAAUGAAUUGAAUGAAUGAAUUUCCAGUACCAUAGCAUAAGCUGUAAACCCUCUGGGUUCUAAAUACCAACCAGCUAAAAUGUCUGCAUUCUCUACUGGUCCCUAGUAGCCAUUGCAGUAGAUGGGUGACCAGGAUAUGUCUCAGUUUGGGGUUCAGGGUUCAGAUUGUAGCUGUGAGAUGGGACCCAUGAAUCUAGCACUGGCAUGUGUGUCUUGUGUAUGCACUUAUGUGGAUGUUUGUGUGCUUUUGUGUGUCUGUGAGAGUCUGUGCCAGUGUGGUCAUGUGUCAAGGUUAGUGAUCUUUCUGUGUUUUCUUCUCCAAGAAAACUGCCGAGGCUUUCUAGGGCUGUAGAAUGCCUGUGUGCCCAUGAAUGCCUCAGCCUCCAGAGGCAGCAGCUCGAGGCCUCGGUCCACCUGUGCUCCGGAGCUGAGGAGCAGUCCACAGCCUGGUGCAGCUCUCCUGAGAUACGCAUCUUUCUGGCUGGGGGGACACUCUACCCUUGGAAGCGCUUGAGUUCAAGUUCACCGCUCAAGCACAAGCAAAGAGACGACACAGCAAUGCAAGACGAAGAGAACAUGCAUAGCUUUUGCACUGGCUGUUCCCUCUGCUUGAAAAACCCUCCUCCCAGUCUUCUCAUAGCUGGCUCCAUCUUAUUAUUCAGACUUCAGCUCAAAUAUUGCUCUUCUUAGAGAAGCCUCCUCAGAACAUUCCACAGCUGCCUGAAGCUGGGCGGUUUGUGCAUCACAAAAGCAUUGAGUGGGGCUGAGGUCCUGUUCUGCUCAUCCAGGCUUUCCCAGGAGAAAGGCUCUGAAGGACUGGCAGGAACCUUGGACAUCGUAUCUAAAUUAGCAACCGCCCCCCCCCAUGUUGUCUGCUUUUGCCUUCAUAGCCAGAGUCAAUGCUAUCUGAAAUUAUGUUUCACAAACUUGAAAUUAUCUUAUCUACUUGUUACAGGUGUCCUCCCACCAGAAUGUAAACCUGAUGCGUGUAAGGACUGUUUCUGUCUUGUUCCUUAUCGUCCUCCCACUGCCUGACACAUACGUGGGGCUCCAUAUGAGGAAAAUGGUUACAACGUGACAAGAAGCGAUUAGAUGUGAAAUGGCAUCUUUCAGGCACUCCUCCCGUCUCUUCAUCCUGUUCUCCCUGGGACAUAGGAGGCGUCCAGUUUUGUUCUGUUCAGAAGAUCACAGUUCUGGCUUGAGGUCAGCUGCUCAUUUGUUGGGUGACCGUGAGCGAGUCCAUUUCUCUCGCUAGGCCUUGGUUUCCUCAUCGGCAGCCGGAGUAGAUGAUGUCUAAAGCAGUGAGUUUGGAUGGUCGCAAAUCUAAAUUACUUGGAGGCACUGGAGAGAAAUAGAGAUGCCAGAGCACCGUCUACUGAGUCAAAAUCUCAUUUGCUGAGCUCCAUAUAGUUUAACUGAGGCUGGGAGAGGUUCCUCGACCUCUAAGUGGCAGAAACUUUCCAAGCCAGGCUGAGAUUCUGAAAGCUGCUGAUGCAUGGAGGUGGAAGAUUUAAGCAAUCAGUUCCUGUUUCGCUGGUGCUGGCCGACCCCAGAAUCAACUCCCUUGAUUGGAAAUAAACAGGAUCUUCCUUUUUGUCUCCAGGAAUGUGAUGGAGGAAGGACUCUAGGGGAAAAGGCCUCUUUUGCCAAAGAAUCAUAAUAAUAACAAAGAUGACAGUAGGAAUAAAAUAUUGCCAGCUUCAUCAAGGGUGAUAAGGAGGUGUUUAGACGUGUUGAGCCUUCUUGCUCUCCAUGUACGCCUGUUAGAAAUCCAGAAUUCAGCCCAGGUUUGAUUGGAACUUUCAUUCUGUGAUCCUCAUAAGUAAAUUAUACAAAUUAGGCUACACCUCUCAGUUUGGGUUUCAGAAAAUAGAAUCACAAUUACCACACUUCAUUUGACAUAGUCCUGUAAAUGUCUGGACAUGAACCUCUCUGGAAUGGUAUGCCUUUGCUGUGUGUACCCCCAGUGCCUAGUGCCCAGCACAGUGCCUGGUCCUUGGGAGCUGGGGCAGUGGGGCUCUGGUGUAAAAUGUGGUGAGGCAGGGGGCACCUGCAGCUCACUCUCAGUUGGCCACAGAAUGAGGUGAGGGGAUUGAGGAAGAACCUGGUUGACUGCAUAAGCCUUCUCUUUCCCUCAGUGCUCCUGGCGCAGGGGCAGAAAGAGCUGUGUUCGGGGAGCAGCCCCAACAAGGCUUGUCUCCUCUGUUGACUCUUGUAAACUCCUUACAUUCCAGAGGAAUCAUGUGCCCACUUCUGGGCCAGCUGUAUCUCAGCAUUUGCUCUCUCCCCUCCCGAAGGGUGGGCUAUGUUACCUGAAGAACCUUACCUUUUGCUAUUUCUAUUUAAUUUUCCUUGAUGCUCAGGGUGAUGAGG